UUGAAACUGACCCAUCCACAUCUCCAAAUCAAGAGAUUGAAGACAUAUUCAUUAAGGAAGAAACUUUGGAAUAUUCACCUUCAGAUGAUUUUCCAGGGCCUAGCACUCAGGAUAGUGGGAAAAUGGAGGAUGAGGAAUGUGAGGAGGAUAUGGAGGAUGCAAUGAGUGAGGGCGAUGGUGAGGAGCUCAAGGAUGAAGCUAAGUUGACACAUAAUCACAGUACAGCAGAAAG